UUGGGGCAGGUGUUGUUGUUGUUGUUGUUGUUGGGGCAGCUGUUGUUGUUGUUGUUGUUUGGGCAGGUGUUGUUGUUGUUGUUGUUGGGGCAGAUGUUGUUGUUGUUGUUGUUGUUGUUGUUGUUGGGGCAGGUGUUGUUGUUGUUGUUGUUGUUGGGGCAGGUGUUGUUGUUGUUGUUGUUGUUGGGGAUGGUGUUGUUGUUGUUGUUGUUGGGGCAGGUGUUGUUGUUGUUGUUGUUGGGGCAGGUGUUGUUGUUGUUGUUGGGGCUGGUGUUGUUGUUGUUGUUGGGGAAGGUGUUGUUGUUGUUGUUGUCGGGGCAGGUGUUGUUGUUGUUGUUGUUGUUGGGGCAGGUGUUGUUGUUGUUGGGGCAGGUGUUGUUGUUGUUGUUGGGGCAGGUGUUGUUGUUGUUGUCAGGGCAGGUGUUGUUGUUGUUGUUGUUGGGGCAGAUGUUGUUGUUGUUGUUGUUGUUGUUGGGGCAGGUGUUGUUGUUGUCGGGGCAGGUGUUGUUGUUGUUGUUGUUGUUGGGGCAGGUGUUGUUGUUGUUGUUGUUGGGGAAGGUGUUGUUGUUGUUGUUGGGGCAGGUGUUGUUGUUGUUGUUGUUGGGGCAGGUGUUGUUGUUGUUGUUGGGGCAGGUGUUGUUGUUGUUGGGGCAGGUGUUGUUGUUGUUGUUGGGGCAGGUGUUGUUGUUGUUGUUGUUGGGGCAGGUGUUGUUGUUGUUGUUGGGGCAGGUGUUGUUGUUGUUGUUGUCAGGGCAGGUGUUGUUGUUGUUGUUGUUGUUGUUGGGGCAGGUGUUGUUGUUGUUGUUGUCAGGGCAGGUGUUGUUGUUGUUGUUGGUGCAGAUGUUGUUGUUGUUGGGGCAGGUGUUGUUGUUGUUGUUGUUGGGGCAGGUGUUGUUGUUGUUGUUGUCGGGGCAGGUGUUGUUGUUGUUGUUGGGGCAGGUGUUGUUGUUGUUGUUGUUGGGGCAGGUGUUGUUGUUGUUGUUGUUGUCAGGGCAGGUGUUGUUGUUGUUGUUGUUGUUGGGGCAGAUGUUGUUGUUGUUGUUGUUGUUGUUGGGGCAGGUGUUGUUGUUGUUGUUGUCGGGGCAGGUGUUGUUGUUGUUGUUGUUGGGGCAGGUGUUGUUGUUGUUGUUGGGGAAGGUGUUGUUGUUGUUGUUGGGGCAGGUGUUGUUGUUGUUGUUGUUGUUGUUGUCGGGGCAGGUGUUGUUGUUGUUGUUGUUGGGGCAGGUGUUGUUGUUGUUGUUGUCAGGGCAGGUGUUGUUGUUGUUGUUGUUGUUGUUGGGGCAGGUGUUGUUGUUGUUGUUGUCAGGGCAGGUGUUGUUGUUGUUGUUGUUGUUGGGGCAGAUGUUGUUGUUGUUGUUGUUGUUGUUGGGGCAGGUGUUGUUGUUGUUGUUGUUGGGGCAGGUGUUGUUGUUGUUGUUGUCGGGGCAGGUGUUGUUGUUGUUGUUGUUGUUGGGGCAGAUGUUGUUGUUGUUGUUGUUGGGGCAGGUGUUGUUGUUGUUGUUGUCGGGGCAGGUGUUGUUGUUGUUGUUGUUGGGGCAGGUGUUGUUGUUGUUGUUGUUGGGGAAGGUGUUGUUGUUGUUGUUGGGGCAGGUGUUGUUGUUGUUGUUGUUGUUGUCGGGGCAGGUGUUGUUGUUGUUGUUGUUGGGGCAGGUGUUGUUGUUGUUGUUGGGGCAGGUGUUGUUGUUGUUGUUGUUGGGGCAGGUGUUGUUGUUGUUGUUGUUGGGGCAGGUGUUGUUGUUGUUGUUGUUGUUGGGGAAGGUGUUGUUGUUGUUGGGGCAGGUGUUGUUGUUGUUGUUGGGGCAGGUGUUGUUGUUGUUGUUGUUGUUGGGGCAGGUGUUGUUGUUGUUGUUGGGGCAGGUGUUGUUGUUGUUGUUGUCGGGUUAGGUGUUGUUGUUGUUGUUGUCGGGGCAGGUGUUGUUGUUGUUGUUGUUGUUGGGGCAGGUGUUGUUGUUGUUGGGGCAGGUGUUGUUGUUGUUGUUGGGGCAGGUGUUGUUGUUGUUGUUGUUGUUGGGCAGGUGUUGUUGUUGUUGUUGUUGGGGCAGGUGUUGUUGUUGUUGUUGUUGUUGUUGUUGUUGUUGUUGUUGGGGCAGGUGUUGUUGUUGUUGUUGUUGUUGGGGAAGGUGUUGUUGUUGUUGUUGUCAGGGCAGGUGUUGUUGUUGUUGUUGGGGCAGGUGUCGUUGUUGGGGCAGGUGUUGUUGUUGUUGUUGUUGUUGGGGCAGGUGUUGUUGUUGUUGUUGGGGCAGGUGUUGUUGUUGUUGUUGUUGUUGGGGCAGGUGUUGUUGUUGUUGUUGGGGCAGGUGUUGUUGUUGUCGGGGUAGGUGUUGUUGUUGUUGUUGUCGGGGCAGGUGUUGUUGUUGUUGUUGUUGUUGUUGGGGCAGGUGUUGUUGUUGUUGGGGCAGGUGUUGUUGUUGUUGUUGGGGCAGGUGUUGUUGUUGUUGUUGUUGGGGCAGGUGUUGUUGUUGUUGUUGUUGUUGUUGGGGCAGAUGUUGUUGUUGUUGUUGUUGUUGUUGGGGCAGGUGUUGUUGUUGUUGUUGUUGGGGCAGGUGUUGUUGUUGUUGUUGUUGUCGGGGCAGGUGUUGUUGUUGUUGUUGGGGCAGGUGUUGUUGUUGUUGUUGUUGGGGCAGGUGUUGUUGUUGUUAGGGCAGGUGUUGUUGUUGUUGUUGUUGUUGGGGCAGAUGUUGUUGUUGUUGUUGUUGGGGCAGGUGUUGUUGUUGUUGUUGUUGGGGCAGGUGUUGUUGUUGUUGUUGUCAGGGCAGGUGUUGUUGUUGUUGUUGUUGUUGGGGCAGAUGUUGUUGUUGUUGUUGUUGGGGCAGGUGUUGUUGUUGUUGUUGUUCAGGGCAGGUGUUGUUGUUGUUGUUGUUGUUGGGGCAGAUGUUGUUGUUGUUGUUGGGGCAGGUGUUGUUGUUGUUGUUGUUGGGGCAGGUGUUGUUGUUGUUGUUGUUGGGGCAGGUGUUGUUGUUGUUGUUGGGGCAGGUGUUGUUGUUGUUGUUGUUGUUGUCGGGGCAGGUGUUGUUGUUGUUGUUGUUGGGGCAGGUGUUGUUGUUGUUGUUGUUGGGGCAGGUGUUGUUGUUGUUGGGGCAGGUGUUGUUGUUGUUGUUGGGGCAGGUGUUGUUGUUGUUGUUGUUGGGGCAGGUGUUGUUGUUGUUGUUGUUGGGGCAGGUGUUGUUGUUGUUGUUGUUGGGGCAGGUGUUGUUGUUGUUGUUGUUGGGGCAGGUGUUGUUGUUGUUGGGGCAGGUGUUGUUGUUGUUGUUGUCGGGGCAGGUGUUGUUGUUGUUGUUGUUGGGGAAGGUGUUGUUGUUGUUGUUGGGGCAGGUGUUGUUGUUGUUGUUGUCGGGGCAGGUGUUGUUGUUGUUGUUGUCGGGGCAGGUGUUGUUGUUGUUGUUGUUGUUGGGGCAGGUGUUGUUGUUGUUGUUGUUGGGGCAGGUGUUGUUGUUGUUGUUGUUGGGGAAGGUGUUGUUGUUGUUGUCGGGGCAGGUGUUGUUGUUGUUGUUGUUGUUGGGGCAGGUGUUGUUGUUGUUGUUGGGGAAGGUGUUGUUGUUGUUGUUGGGGCAGGUGUUGUUGUUGUUGUUGUUGGGGCAGUUGUUGUUGUUGUUGUUGUUGUUGUUGGGGCAGGUGUUGUUGUUGUUGUUGUUGGGGAAGGUGUUGUUGUUGUUGUCGGGGCAGGUGUUGUUGUUGUUGUUGUUGUUGGGGCAGGUGUUGUUGUUGUUGUUGUUGGGGAAGGUGUUGUUGUUGUUGUUGGGGCAGGUGUUGUUGUUGUUGUUGUUGGGGCAGGUGUUGUUGUUGUUGUUGUUGUUGGGGCAGGUGUUGUUGUUGUUGUUGUUGGGGCAGGUGUUGUUGUUGUUGUUGUGGCAGGUGUUGUUGUUGUUGUUGUUGGGGCAGGUGUUGUUGUUGGGGCAGGUGUUGUUGUUGUUGUUGGGGCAGGUGUUGUUGUUGGGGCAGGUGUUGUUGUUGUUGUUGUUGGGGCAGGUGUUGUUGUUGUUGUUGGGGCAGGUGUUGUUGUUGUUGUUGUCAGGGCAGGUGUUGUUGUUGUUGUUGUUGGGGCAGAUGUUGUUGUUGUUGUUGUUGUUGGGGCAGGUGUUGUUGUUGUUGUUGUUGUCGGGGCAGGUGUUGUUGUUGUUGUUGUCGGGGCAGGUGUUGUUGUUGUUGUUGUUGGGGCAGGUGUUGUUGUUGUUGUUGUUGUUGGGAAAAGGUGUUGUUGUUGUUGGGGCAGGUGUUGUUGUUGUUGUUGUUGUUGGGGCAGGUGUUGUUGUUGUUGGGGAAGGUGUUGUUGUUGUUGUUGGGGAAGGUGUUGUUGUUGUUGUCGGGGCAGGUGUUGUUGUUGUUGUUGUUGUUGUUGGGGCAGGUGUUGUUGUUGUUGUUGUUGUUGGGGCAGGUGUUGUUGUUGUUGUUGUUGUUGGGGAAGGUGUUGUUGUUGUUGGGGCAGGUGUUGUUGUUGUUGUUGUUGGGGCAGGUGUUGUUGUUGUUGUUGUUGGGGCAGGUGUUGUUGUUGUUGUUGUUGGGGCAGGUGUUGUUGUUGUUGUUGUUGUUGUUGUCAGGGCAGGUGUUGUUGUUGUUGUUGUUGGGGCAGAUGUUGUUGUUGUUGUUGUUGUUGUUGGGGCAGGUGUUGUUGUUGUUGUCGGGGCAGGUGUUGUUGUUGUUGUUGGGGCAGGUGUUGUUGUUGUUGUUGUUGUUGGGGCAGGUGUUGUUGUUGUUGUUGGGGCAGGUGUUGUUGUUGUUGUUGUGGCAGGUGUUGUUGUUGUUGUUGUUGUUGGGGCAGGUGUUGUUGUUGGGGCAGGUGUUGUUGUUGUUGUUGGGGCAGGUGUUGUUGUUGGGGCAGGUGUUGUUGUUGUUGUUGUUGGGGCAGGUGUUGUUGUUGUUGUUGGGGCAGGUGUUGUUGUUGUUGUUGUUGGGGCAGGUGUUGUUGUUGUUGUUGUUGGGGCAGAUGUUGUUGUUGUUGUUGUUGUUGGGGGUGUUGUUGUUGUUGUUGUUGUCGGGGCAGGUGUUGUUGUUGUUGUUGUCGGGGCAGGUGUUGUUGUUGUUGUUGUUGGGGCAGGUGUUGUUGUUGUUGUUGUUGUUGGGAAAGGUGUUGUUGUUGUUGGGGCAGGUGUUGUUGUUGUUGUUGUUGUUGGGGCAGGUGUUGUUGUUGUUGGGGAAGGUGUUGUUGUUGUUGUUGGGGAAGGUGUUGUUGUUGUUGUCGGGGCAGGUGUUGUUGUUGUUGUUGUUGUUGGGGCAGGUGUUGUUGUUGUUGUUGUUGGGGCAGGUGUUGUUGUUGUUGUUGGGGCAGGUGUUGUUGUUGUUGUUGUUGGGGCAGGUGUUGUUGUUGUUGUUGGGGCAGGUGUUGUUGUUGUUGUCGGGGCAGGUGUUGUUGUUGUUGUUGUUGGGGCAGGUGUUGUUGUUGUUGUUGUUGGGGCAGGUGUUGUUGUUGUUGUUGUUGGGGCAGGUGUUGUUGUUGUUGUUGUCGGGGCAGGUGUUGUUGUUGUUGUUGUCGGGGCAGGUGUUGUUGUUGUUGUUGUUGGGGCAGGUGUUGUUGUUGUUGUUGGGGCAGGUGUUGUUGUUGUUGUUGUUGUUGUCGGGGCAGGUGUUGUUGUUGUUGUUGUUGGGGCAGGUGUUGUUGUUGUUGUUGUUGGGGCAGGUGUUGUUGUUGUUUUUGGGGCAGGUGUUGUUGUUGUUGUUGGGGAAGGUGUUGUUGUUGUUGUUGGGGCAGGUGUUGUUGUUGUUGUUGUUGGGGCAGGUGUUGUUGUUGUUGUUGGGGCAGGUGUUGUUGUUGUUGUUGUCAGGGCAGGUGUUGUUGUUGUUGGGGCAGAUGUUGUUGUUGUUGUUGUUGGGGCAGGUGUUGUUGUUGUUGUUGUUGUCAGGUGUUGUUGUUGUUGUUGUCGGGGCAGGUGUUGUUGUUGUUGUUGUUGGGGCAGGUGUUGUUGUUGGGGCAGGUGUUGUUGUUGUUGUUGUUGGGGCAGGUGUUGUUGUUGUUGUUGUUGUUGGGGCAGGUGUUUUUGUUGUUGUUGUUGGGGCAGGUGUUGUUGUUGUUGUUGGGGAAGGUGUUGUUGUUGUUGUUGGGGAAGGUGUUGUUGUUGUUGUUGUCAGGGCAGGUGUUGUUGUUGUUGUUGUUGGGGCAGAUGUUGUUGUUGUUGUUGGGGCAGGUGUUGUUGUUGUUGUUGUCAGGGCAGGUGUUGUUGUUGUUGUUGUUGGGGCAGGUGUUGUUGUUGUUGUUGUCAGGGCAGGUGUUGUUGUUGUUGUUGUUGGGGCAGAUGUUGUUGUUGUUGUUGUUGUUGUUGGGGCAGGUGUUGUUGUUGUCGGGGCAGGUGUUGUUGUUUUUGUUGUUGUUGGGGCAGGUGUUGUUGUUGUUGUUGUUGUUGUUGGGGAAGGUGUUGUUGUUGUUGUUGUUGUUCGGGCAGGUGUUGUUGUUGUUGUUGUUGGGGAAGGUGUUGUUGUUGUUGUUGGAGCAGGUGUUGUUGUUGUUGUUGUCAGGGCAGGUGUUGUUGUUGUUGUUGUUGUUGGGGCAGAUGUUGUUGUUGUUGUUGUUGUUGUUGGGGCAGGUGUUGUUGUUGUUGUUGUCGGGGCAGGUGUUGUUGUUGUUGUUGUUGUUGGGGAAGGUGUUGUUGUUGUUGUUGGGGCAGGUGUUGUUGUUGUUGUUGUUGUUGUCGGGGCAGGUGUUGUUGUUGUUGUUGUUGGGGCAGUUUGUUGUUGUUGUUGUUGUUGUUGGGGCAGGUGUUGUUGUUGUUGUUGUUGGGGCAGGUGUUGUUGUUGUUGGGGCAGGUGUUGUUGUUGUUGUUGGGGCAGGUGUUGUUGUUGUUGUUGUCGGUGCAGGUGUUGUUGUUGUUGUUGUUGUUGUUGGGGCAGGUGUUGUUGUUGUUGUUGUUGGGGCAGGUGUUGUUGUUGUUGUUGUUGGGGCAGGUGUUGUUGUUGUUGUUGUUGGGGAAGGUGUUGUUGUUGUUGUUGGGGCAGGUGUUGUUGUUGUUGUUGUUGGGGCAGGUGUUGUUGUUGUUGUUGGGGCAGGUGUUGUUGUUGUUGUUGUCGGGGCAGGUGUUGUUGUUGUUGUUGUAGGGGCAGGUGUUGUUGUUGUUGUUGUUGGGGCAGGUGUUGUUGUUGUUGUUGUUGGGGAAGGUGUUGUUGUUGUUGUUGUCGGGGCAGGUGUUGUUGUUGUUGUUGUUGUUGGGGCAGGUGUUGUUGUUGUUGUUGUUGGGGAAGGUGUUGUUGUUGUUGUUGGGGCAGGUGUUGUUGUUGUUGUUGUUGGGGCAGGUGUUGUUGUUGUUGUUGUUGUUGUUGGGGCAGGUGUUGUUGUUGUUGUUGUUGGGGAAGGUGUUGUUGUUGUUGUCGGGGCAGGUGUUGUUGUUGUUGUUGUUGUUGGGGCAGGUGUUGUUGUUGUUGUUGUUGUUGGGGAAGGUGUUGUUGUUGUUGUUGGGGCAGGUGUUGUUGUUGUUGUUGUUGGGGCAGGUGUUGUUGUUGUUGGGGCAGGUGUUGUUGUUGUUGUUGUUGUGGCAGGUGUUGUUGUUGUUGUUGUGGCAGGUGUUGUUGUUGUUGUUGUUGUUGGGGAAGGUGUUGUUGUUGGGGCAGGUGUUGUUGUUGUUGUUGGGGCAGGUGUUGUUGUUGUUGUUGUUGGGGCAGGUGUUGUUGUUGUUGUUGUUGUUGGGGCAGGUGUUGUUGUUGUUGUUGUUGGGGCAGUUGUUGUUGUUGUUGUUGUUGGGGCAGGUGUUGUUGUUGUUGUUGUCAGGGCAGGUGUUGUUGUUGUUGUUGUUGGGGCAGAUGUUGUUGUUGUUGUUGGGGCAGGUGUUGUUGUUGUUGUUGUUGUUGUCGGGGCAGGUGUUGUUGUUGUUGUUGUUGUCGGGGCAGGUGUUGUUGUUGUUGGGGCAGGUGUUGUUGUUGUUGUUGUUGUUGGGAAAGGUGUUGUUGUUGUUGGGGCAGGUGUUGUUGUUGUUGUUGUUGUUGGGGCAGGUGUUGUUGUUGUUGGGGAAGGUGUUGUUGUUGUUGUUGGGGAAGGUGUUGUUGUUGUUGUCGGGGCAGGUGUUGUUGUUGUUGUUGUUGUUGGGGCAGGUGUUGUUGUUGUUGUUGUUGGGGCAGGUGUUGUUGUUGUUGUUGGGGCAGGUGUUGUUGUUGUUGUUGUCAGGGCAGGUGUUGUUGUUGUUGUUGUUGGGGCAGGUGUUGUUGUUGUUGUUGUCAGGGCAGGUGUUGUUGUUGUUGUUGUUGGGGCAGAUGUUGUUGUUGUUGUUGUUGGGGCAGGUGUUGUUGUUGUUGUCGGGGCAGGUGUUGUUGUUGUUGUUGGGGCAGGUGUUGUUGUUUUUGUUGUUGGGGAAGGUGUUGUUGUUGUUGUUGGGGCAGGUGUUGUUGUUGUUGUUGUUGUUGUCGGGGCAGGUGUUGUUGUUGUUGUUGUUGGGGCAGGUGUUGUUGUUGUUGUUGUUGGGGCAGGUGUUGUUGUUGUUUUUGGGGCAGGUGUUGUUGUUGUUGUUGGGGCAGGUGUUGUUGUUGUUGUUGGGGCAGGUGUUGUUGUUGUUGUUGUCGGGGCAGGUGUUGUUGUUGUUGUUGUCGGGGCAGGUGUUGUGGUUGUUGUUGUUGUUGAGGCAGGUGUUGUUGUUGUUGUUGUUGGGGAAGGUGUUGUUGUUGUUGGGGCAGGUGUUGUUGUUGUUGUUGUUAAGGCAGGUGUUGUUGUUGUUGUUGUUGGGGCAGGUGUUGUUGUUGUCAGGGCAGGUGUUGUUGUUGGGGCAGAUGUUGUUGUUGUUGUUGUUGGGGAAGGUGUUGUUGUUGUUGUUGUCGGGGCAGGUGUUGUUGUUGUUGUUGUCGGGGCAGGUGUUGUUGUUGUUGUUGUUGUUGUUGGGGCAGGUGUUGUUGUUGUUGUUGGGGAAGGUGUUGUUGUUGUUGUUGGGGCAGGUGUUGUUGUUGUUGUUGUUGGGGCAGGUGUUGUUGUUGUUGUUGGGGCAGGUGUUGUUGUUGUUGUUGUCAGGGCAGGUGUUGUUGUUGUUGUUGUUGGGGCAGAUGUUGUUGUUGUUGUUGGGGCAGGUGUUGUUGUUGUUGUUGCUGUCGGGGAAGGUGUUGUUGUUGUUGUUGUCGGGGCAGGUGUUGUUGUUGUUGUUGUUGGGGCAGGUGUUGUUGUUGGGGCAGGUGUUGUUGUUGUUGUUGUUGGGGCAGGUGUUGUUGUUGUUGUUGUUGUUGGUGUUGUUGUUGUUGUUGUUGUUGUUGGGGCAGGUGUUGUUGUUGUUGUUGGGGCAGGUGUUGUUGUUGUUGUUGGGGAAGGUGUUGUUGUUGUUGUUGGGGCAGGUGUUGUUGUUGUUGUUGUUGGGGCAGGUGUUGUUGUUGUUGUUGUUGUUGUUGGGGCAGGUGUUGUUGUUGUUGUUGUUGGGGCAGGUGUUGUUGUUGUUGUUGUUGGGGCAGGUGUUGUUGUUGUUGUUGGGGCAGGUGUUGUUGUUGUUGUUGUUGGGGCAGAUGUUGUUGUUGUUGUUGUUGUUGUUGUUGUUGGGGCAGGUGUUGUUGUUGUCGGGGCAGGUGUUGUUGUUGUUGUUGUUGUUGGGGCAGGUGUUGUUGUUGUUGUUGUUGGGGAAGGUGUUGUUGUUGUUGUUGUUCGGGCAGGUGUUGUUGUUGUUGUUGUUGGGGAAGGUGUUGUUGUUGUUGUUGGGGCAGGUGUUGUUGUUGUUGUUGUUGGGGCAGGUGUUGUUGUUGUUGUUGUUGGGGCAGGUGUUGUUGUUGUUGUUGUCGGGGCAGGUGUUGUUGUUGUUGUUGUCGGGGAAGGUGUUGUUGUUGUUGUUGGGGCAGGUGUUGUUGUUGUUGGGGAAGGUGUUGUUGUUGGGGCAGGUGUUGUUGUUGGGGCAGGUGUUGUUGUUGUUGUUGGGGCAGGUGUUGUUGUUGUUGUUGGGGCAGGUGUUGUUGUUGUUGUUGGGGAAGGUGUUGUUGUUGUUGUUGUUGUUGUUGGGGCAGGUGUUGUUGUUGUUGUUGUCAGGGCAGGUGUUGUUGUUGUUUUUGGGGCAGAUGUUGUUGGUGUUGUUGUUGUUGUUGUUGGGGCAGGUGUUGUUGUUGUCGGGGCAGGUGUUGUUGUUGUUGUUGUUGUUGGGGCAGGUGUUGUUGUUGUUGUUGUUGUUGUUGGGGAAGGUGUUGUUGUUGUUGUUGGGGCAGGUGUUGUUGUUGUUGUUGUUGGGGCAGGUGUUGUUGUUGUUGUUGUUGUUGGGGCAGGUGUUGUUGUUGUUGUUGUUGGGGCAGGUGUUGUUGUUGUUGUUGGGGCAGGUUUUGUUGUUGUUGUUGUUGGGGCAGGUGUUGUUGUUGUUUUUGGGGCAGGUGUUGUUGUUGUUGGGGCAGGUGUUGUUGUUGGGGCAGGUGUUGUUGUUGUUGUUGGGGCAGAUGUUGUUGUUGUUGUUGUUGGGGCAGGUGUUGUUGUUGUUGUUGGGGCAGGUGUUGUUGUUGUUGGGGCAGGUGUUGUUGUUGUUGUUGGGGCAGGUGUUGUUGUUGUUGUUGUUGUUGGGUCAGGUGUUGUUGUUGUUGUUGUUGUUGUUGGGGAAGGUGUUGUUGUUGUUGUGGCAGGUGUUGUUGUUGUUGGGGCAGGUGUUGUUGUUGUUGUUGGGGAAGGUGAUGUUGUUGUUGUUGUGGCAGGUGUUGUUUUUGUUGUUGUUGGGGCAGGUGUUGUUGUUGUUCUUGUUGGGGCAGGUGUUGUUGUUGUUGUUGGGGCAGGUGUUGUUGUUGUUGUUGGGGCAGGUGUUGUUGUUGUUGGGGCAGGUGUUGUUGUUGUUGUGGCAGGUGUUGUUGUUGUUUUUGGGGCAGAUGUUGUUGUUGUUGUUGUUGUUGUUGUUGGGGCAGGUGUUGUUGUUGUUGUUGGGGCAGGUGUUGUUGUUGUUGUUGGGGCAGGUGUUGUUGUUGUUGUUGUUGUUGUUGGGGCAGGUGUUGUUGUUGUUGUUGGGGCAGGUGUUGUUGUUGUUGUUGUUGGGGCAGGUGUUGUUGUUGUUGUUGUUGUUGGGGCAGGUGUUGUUGUUGUUGUUGUUGGGGCAGGUGUUGUUGUUGUUGUUGGGGCAGGUGUUGUUGUUGUUGUUGGGGCAGGUGUUGUUGUUGUUGUUGGGGCAGGUGUUGUUGUUGUUGGGGCAGGUGUUGUUGUUGGGGCAGGUGUUGUUGUUGUUGUUGGGGCAGGUGUUGUUGUUGUUGUUGUUGGGGCAGGUGUUGUUGUUGUUGUUGGGGCAGGUGUUGUUGUUGUUGUUGUUGUUGUUGGGGCAGGUGUUGUUGUUGUUGUUGGGGAAGGUGUUGUUGUUGUUGUUGUUGUUGGGUCAGGUGUUGUUGUUGUUGUUGUUGGGGCAGGUGUUGUUGUUGUUGUUGUUGGGGCAGGUGUUGUUGUUGUUGUUGGGGCAGGUGUUGUUGUUGUUGUUGUUGGGGAAGGUGAUGUUGUUGUUGUUGUGGCAGGUGUUGUUGUUGUUGUUGUUGGGGCAGGUGUUGUUGUUGUUGUUGUUGGGGCAGGUGUUGUUGUUGUUGGGGCAGGUGUUGUUGUUGUUGUUGGGGCAGGUGUUGUUGUUGUUGGGGCAGGUGUUGUUGUUGUUGUGGCAGGUGUUGUUGUUGUUUGGGCAGGUGUUGUUGUUGUUGUCGGGGCAGGUGUUGUUGUUGUUGUUGUUGUUGGGGCAGGUGUUGUUGUUGUUGUUGUUGGGGCAGGUGUUGUUGUUGUUGUUGUUGUUGUUGGGGCAGGUGUUGUUGUUGUUGUUGUUGGGGCAGGUGUUGUUGUUGUUGUUGGGGCAGGUGUUGUUGUUGUGGCAGGUGUUGUUGUUGUUAGGGCAGGUGUUGUUGUUGUUGUUUUUGGGGCAGGUGUUGUUGUUGUUGUUGGGGCAGGUGUUGUUGUUGUUGUUGGGGCAGGUGUUGUUGUUGUUGUUGUUGGGGCAGGUGUUGUUGUUGUUGUUGGGGCAGGUGUUGUUGUUGUUGUUGGGGCAGGUGUUGUUGUUGUUGUUGUUGUUGGGGCAGGUGUUGUUGUUGUUGUUGUUGUUGUUGUUGUUGGGGCAGGUGUUGUUGUUGUUGUUGUUGUUGUGGCAGGUGUUGUUGUUGGGGCAGGUGUUGUUGUUGUUGUUGUUGUUGUUGGGGCAGGUGUUGUUGUUGUUGUUGUUGGGGCAGGUGUUGUUGUUGUUGUUGUUGGGGCAGGUGUUGUUGUUGUUGUUGGGGCAGGUGUUGUUGUUGUCGGGGCAGGUGUUGUUGUUGGGGCAGGUGUUGUUGUUGUUGUUGUGGCAGGUGUUGUUGUUGGGGCAGGUGUUGUUGUUGUUGUUGUUGUUGGGGCAGGUGUUGUUGUUGUUGUUGUUGGGGCAGGUGUUGUUGUUGUUUUUGGGGCAGGUAUUGUUGUUGUUGGGGCAGGUGUUGUUGUUGGGGCAGGUGUUGUUGUUGUUGUUGGGGAAGGUGUUGUUGUUGUUGUUGUUGGGGCAGGUGUUGUUGUUGUUGUUGGGGCAGGUGUUGUUGUUGUUGUUGUUGUUGUUGGGGCAGGUGUUGUUGUUGUUGGGGAAGGUGUUGUUGUUGUUGUUGUUGGGUCAGGUGUUGUUGUUGUUGUUGUUGGGGCAGGUGUUGUUGUUGUUGUUGUGGCACGUGUUGUUGUUGUUGGGGCAGGUGUUGUUGUUGUUGUUGGGGAAGGUGAUGUUGUUGUUGUUGUGGCAGGUGUUGUUUUUGUUGUUGUUGGGGCAGGUGUUGUUGUUGUUCUUGUUGGGGCAGGUGUUGUUGUUGUUGUUGGGGCAGGUGUUGUUGUUGUUGUUGGGGCAGGUGUUGUUGUUGUUGGGGCAGGUGUUGUUGUUGUUGUUGGGGUGUUGUUGUUGUUGUUGUUGUUGUUGUUGUUGGGGCAGGUGUUGUUGUUGUUGUUGUUGUUGGGGCAGGUGUUGUUGUUGUUGUUGUUGGGGCAGGUGUUGUUGUUGUUGUUGUUGGGGCAGGUGUUGUUGUUGUUGUUGUUGGGGCAGGUGUUGUUGUUGUUGUUGGGGCAGGUGUUGUUGUUGUUGUGGCAGGUGUUGUUGUUGUUAGGGCAGGUGUUGUUGUUGUUGUUUUUGGGGCAGGUGUUGUUGUUGUUGUUGGGGCAGAUGUUGUUGUUGUUGUUGGGGCAGGUGUUGUUGUUGUUGUUGUUGGGGCAGGUGUUGUUGUUGUUGUUGGGGCAGGUGUUGUUGUUGUUGUUGGGGCAGGUGUUGUUGUUGUUGUUGGGUCAGGUGUUGUUGUUGUUGUUGGGGCAGGUGUUGUUGUUGUUGUUGUGGCAGGUGUUGUUGUUGGGGCAGGUGUUGUUGUUGUUGUUGUUGUUGGGGAAGGUGUUGUUGUUGUUGUUGUUUGGGCAGGUGUUGUUGUUGUUGUUGUUGGGGCAGGUGUUGUUGUUGUCGGGGCAGGUGUUGUUGUUGGGGCAGGUGUUGUUGUUGUUGUUGUGGCAGGUGUUGUUGUUGGGGCAGGUGUUGUUGUUGUUGUUGUUGGGGAAGGUGUUGUUGUUGUUGUUGUAGCAGGUGUUGUUGUUGUUGUUGGGGCAGGUGUUGUUGUUGUUGUUGGGGCAGGGUUGUUGUUGUUGUUGUUGGGGCAGGUGUUUUUGUUGUUGUUGGGGCAGGUGUUGUUGUUGUUGUCGGGGCAGGUGUUGUUGUUGUUGUUGUUGGGGCAGGUGUUGUUGUUGUGGCAGGUGUUGUUGUUGUUGUUGUUGUUGUUGUUGGUGCAGGUGUUGUUGUUGUUGUUGGGGCAGGUGUUGUUGUUGUUGGGGAAGGUGUUGUUGUUGUUGUUGGGGCAGGUGUUGUUGUUGUUGUUUUUGGGGCAGGUGUUGUUGUUGUUGUUGUGGCAGGUGUUGUUGUUGUUGUUGGGGAAGGUGUUGCUGUUGUUGUUGGGGCUGGUUUUGUUGUUGUUGUUGUUGGGGAAGGUGUUGUUGUUGUUGUUGUUGUUGGGGCAGGUUUUGUUGUUGUUGUUGUGGCAGGUGUUGUUGUUGUUGUUGGGGAAGGUGUUGUUGUUGUUGUUGUUGGGGAAGGUGUUGCUGUUGUUGUUGGGGCUGGUUUUGUUGUUGUUGUUGUUGGGGAAGGUGUUGUUGUUGUUGUUGUUGGGGCAGGUUUUGUUGUUGUUGCGCUAGCUGUUGUUUUUGUUGUUGUUGUUGGGGCAGGUUUUGUUGUUGUUGUUGUUGGGGAAGGUGUUGUUGUUGUUGUUGUUGUUGGGGAAGGUGUUGUUGUUGUUGUUGUUGGGGAAGGUGUUGCUGUUGUUGUUGGGGCUGGUUUUGUUGUUGUUGUUGUUGGGGAAGGUGUUGUUGUUGUUGUUGUUGGGGCAGGUUUUGUUGUUGUUGCGCUAGCUGUUGUUUUUGUUGUUGUUGUUGGGGCAGGUUUUGUUGUUGUUGUUGUUGGGGAAGGUGUUGUUGUUGUUGUUGUUGUUGGGGAAGGUGUUGUUGUUGUUGGGGAAGCUGUUGUUGUUGUUUUUGUUGUUGGGGCAGGUGUUGUUGUUGUUGGGGCAGGUGUUGUUGUUGUAGUUGUUCCUGUUAUAACUGCCAGAAUUUUGGGCGACAAAAACAUUUCAGUUUUUUUAUCCAUUGUCAUUUUACAUAUAAAAUUUUUUCGCAUUGUUUUAAUGGCCAUAAAAUUUUUAAUAUUUGUUUCCUUUAUUAUUUAAAGCAUUUUGUUUACUUUGUAAUCAGGGUGGUAUUACAAACCAAACUGAUGCCCUAUAUCAUUUCUUUUGAUUAUUUAGUCAUUGGUUUAAGAGUUUUACUUUUUCUGUAUGUUGAACAGUUAUUCAUUGAAAUAGCUGUUAUUAAUAUCUUACUUUAAAUGACUUUCCAACGUUUGCUUUUUUUGAAUAUUUAAAAAGGAGCUAGCUUACCAGUAAGAAUUAGGAAAAGUGAUGUGGCCACCCCUCCUAUGGCCAUUUUGUCUUCUUUUAGGUCCGUCAAAAAGAAAGUCUGCAAACAAUCAAAUGGUUGGUGUUGUGCUUUUCCACACUUACAACAAAAACUGCAAAGUUACAAUGUUUGGUGUCCAUACUAAAUGUAUGCAAAAUUUCAAAUCACAAGGUGAAUGUUAUCAAAAGGAUGUAGACUGCUCAAUAUAGGAGCCUGAGCUGAUGACGUGAGACUCACUAAAAUGUCUACAUAGAUAUUAUAGGCUCUCCUUAUUAGUUCAUCUGUGUCUCUGGCAAAGCCCAAUGGCUUGCCCCCAACAGCGUGUGAAGUGACACUCACAGCGGAGCAGGGGAAAGCUGCUCUUCUGUUCUAUGCCAAAGUGACAAACACAGGGCUUUAAAAAAAAACUAAAUAUCAAGCUAUUAAAGAGGUAUCAGAAAGAAAAUAUAGAAAAAAAAAAAAGAAUAAUUCCCCAUCGUAAAAAACUAAAUCACAAAGGCACUGUGGAAAAUUAUUUGUUGGCUCCAUAGACUGUAUAUACUAUGGACAAUCUGAGGCCUGUACUAUGAAGCUGGAUUAACACAUCCAGGGUAACUCUGCGACAACUCGCUCAACUUCACCGGAUCUCCGCGAUCCCGAUCAGCUGUAUUACGAAGCCGGUGAUCAACUCGAUAACUGAAUCCAGGUGUGGCCACUUCAGAUCUGUGCGCGCACACGUAAAGGGGGUGGGGUUAGUUCCACUGGACCAAUCUCCACAGUGGAGAAGGCUGCACGUCUUUUUUCACAGCCGAAGAACAGAGCAUUAUUUUACGAGGAGUACAGCAACAUUAUAACAGUGAGGAGCAGGACAGCUGCUAAAAGCUGGUGGGACUUCUGGCAAAAAAAAAAAUCAUCAAUUGUGUAAAUUACAUUUGUGCAUUCAUAUAUUUAUGGCCCCCUAAUAUGUUGUCAUGCAGCGUGUGUGAUCACCUCCAUCAAUGACCUCAUUAUUUCAGAUACAACAGCAGUGGGGAAAAGAGUACGUGGGAGCAAAUAAAAAUAAAUCUAAAAACAUCCUUUAAAGUAGUUUAGUAGUAAGUUUAUUGGAAGAUUUUAUUUGUACAUAUUUCAACGCGUAAACAGUGAUUUCCUCACACUGCCUUCUUUUUUUUUUCUUAAUCAUCUGAUGGUCACAUGUCAUCUGCAGACACAUUUGGGGUUAAGAGGAGUUUUCCAAUCUGCUUCAAUAAAUUCUGAAUGAUGACUGAUAUGCUGCAUGAAAUUGGAACCUGGAGCUUGGCAAAUAUUAGUGCAUUGCUUAGACUUCAUGCUACAUUGAGGCCGUCCGAGGAAAACCUGUAACGUUCAUAGAGAACGUCAUCAGGUAAAUCAAACGGAUUUGAACAAUCAUGAAUAUAACGCAAAGCGCUCCUCUCAUUAUCCGUGCAACGAUGUCCCCGGAAUCCGGCAAAAGUGGGCAAGCCAUUUUCCAAGAGAUCUGAUUGGUCAGUGGGCGGUCUUUUAUACCUGCUGAGAUCUUAUCCUAAAACAUAACCUGCUCUGGAGCAGGUUUGGCGUUCCGCGCAAGUUACCGGGGUGUAUGGAAAACCCAGAAGUUAUCCAAAAGUUAUCUUGCUAAGACCAAAUCCAGCUUUGUAGUACAGGCCUCUGGUUCCGCCUACCGCCUGUAUACGGAUCUGAAGCCAAAAAGCUCUCGGUAUUUCCGGGAUUUUUCUUCAUUUCCUGAAACCAGUGCUGUGCAGUUGCGUUGUGCGCAUUCAGCCGCGCAGUCGCAGAGAGUCACUGUGAUGACACUCGGCUCAAACAGCGUAUCCCCCGGGAGAGCUACUCAAUCCCUGAACGCCCAUAGGCUGUAUUAGGUGUCAAUCAUAGAAAACAGGAACCCCCUAAUAACUUUUAAAAACGGAGCUUCACAGAAAAAUAGGACUUGAGAACAAACCAGUCUUACAAUAACUACAUGUCAACAUCCUAAGCUCCAUAAGCUUUGCUGGUGAAGGCGGGAUUUAUGACCUAUAUUGCAGCCCGUCAACAGAGGGUGUCCAUUCUAUAUACAGUCUAUGGUUGGCUCUAACUCAGUAAAGUCAUUUUUUCACAAUGUCUAUAGAAUACAAGUCAGAAUGAAUUAAUUCAAAAUUUGUUGAUUUUAUUUACCAAUUGUUUUAAUUAUUUGGUUGGGAAUCAAUUGAUGCUUGUUUCAGCCAUGUGUUUUUCCAGGUACUGUUUCAAUUAAAAAAAUAUAUGAUUGCAACAAUGUUUUGCAUACACACUUUUCGAUUUUCGAAUGACUGAAUUUAUCAAACCUAUUAAGUAUGAUAAAGCAUCAGGAAACAUGUUUCCCUCCUGGGGCGUCUUCCUGGUUUUAACCCUUUCAUACUUUUCAAGAAAGUGAAAUAUGAAAACAUUCAGUAUGGAAAGGCUUCAUGAGAGAAUCAACGUACGGGAAUUUCAAACUUUUGAUGAACUGAAUAAUUUGAACAUGAUCUGUCAAAUAUACUUUAAAAUAUAUUUUUAAGACUGUCCUUACAGAUUUAGAAGAGUAAGCUUUUGAGGAGAAUGGCUGGUCUGUAUAUCUUAGAGAGGUAUAAAUCAUUUAUCCUCACAGGUCUUACUUUAGGUUCCAAUAGCCAAAGCAA